AUUGAACGCUGGCGGCAGGCUUAACACAUGCAAGUCGAGCGGAGAGAGGUAGCUUGCUACUGAUCUUAGCGGCGGACGGGUGAGUAAUGCUUAGGAAUCUGCCUAUUAGUGGGGGACAACAUUCCGAAAGGAAUGCUAAUACCGCAUACGCCCUACGGGGGAAAGCAGGGGAUCUUCGGACCUUGCGCUAAUAGAUGAGCCUAAGUCGGAUUAGCUAGUUGGUGGGGUAAAGGCCUACCAAGGCGACGAUCUGUAGCGGGUCUGAGAGGAUGAUCCGCCACACUGGGACUGAGACACGGCCCAGACUCCUACGGGAGGCAGCAGUGGGGAAUAUUGGACAAUGGGCGGAAGCCUGAUCCAGCCAUGCCGCGUGUGUGAAGAAGGCCUUUUGGUUGUAAAGCACUUUAAGCGAGGAGGAGGCUACUAGUAUUAAUACUACUGGAUAGUGGACGUUACUCGCAGAAUAAGCACCGGCUAACUCUGUGCCAGCAGCCGCCGUAACAC
rnacentral:rRNA from 1 species